rnacentral:tRNA from 1 species
UUCCUGAUAGCUCAACAGGUUAGAGCAAUUGGCUGUUAACCACUAGGUUACAGGUUCGAGUCCUGUUCAGGAAG